rnacentral:rRNA from 1 species
AUUGAACGCUGGCGGCAGGCCUAACACAUGCAAGUCGAGCGGAUGAGAGGAGCUUGCUUCUCGAUUCAGCGGCGGACGGGUGAGUAAUGCCUAGGAGUCUGCCUGGUAGAGGGGGAUACCAGUUGGAAACGACUGUUAAUACCGCAUAAUGUCUACGGACCAAAGUGUGGGACCUUCGGGCCACAUGCUAUCGGAUGCGCCUACGUGGGAUUAGCUAGUUGGUGGGGUAAUGGCUCACCAAGGCGACGAUCCCUAGCUGGUUUGAGAGGAUGAUCAGCCACACUGGAACUGAGACACGGUCCAGACUCCUACGGGAGGCAGCAGUGGGGAAUAUUGGACAAUGGGCGCAAGCCUGAUCCAGCCAUGCCGCGUGUGUGAAGAAGGCCUUCGGGUUGUAAAGCACUUUCAGUAGGGAGGAAGGGUGUUGUGUUAAUAGCACAGCAUUUUGACGUUACCUACAGAAGAAGCACCGGCUAACUCUGUGCCAGCCGCCGCAGUAAGAC